GGAGCUGUCCCUGCUGCCCUUGAGAGCCCUACCAUCACCGCCAACUUUAGCCUCUUUGCUCCCUUUGGCAGUGGCUGCCAAAUCAGUGGGGCAGAGCCAGCUGAGAGGGGGCCUUUGGAAGUGGGGCACUGCCCACUGGCCCUGACUACUACUCCCAGCUGCUUACCAAGAAUGACCUGAGUAACCCGCCGACACCACCCUCGUCGCUGCCCCCCACCCCCGCCCUGGCGGUGCAGCAGAAGAUGGUGAAUGGCGUGACUUCCCUCCGAAGAUCUGGGGAGCACCCAAGGAUCCAGCCUCUGCCAGGGACACUGAAGGGCCGUUGAGGGGUGGUAAGCGAAGAGGUGACUGCCUUUCCCAGUGGUAUUCAGGGGCCUGGGUCCGAGCAGUUAGGGUAGCCUGCCUCACAGUGUAAGAAGCAAGUGGGUUGUAUGCUACUGUGCCACUGCAGGACAGGCUGGCUGGGUGGGAAGGACCUCUUCAGGAUCGAUUUGCUGGGGACAAGGAUGGGCUUCUGGAAUCUGUUGCCAAAGCAAUAGGGGAGCUUAGUUGCAGGGAGAAUCUGAGCAAAGCUCUGUGUAGAACAAGCAGUCCAGCUUUCGUGAGUAUAGCGCUACAGUCCGAUCUAGAUUUGAACUCUGGUACCUGUAUAUAUUUAGCUGCAUUACUUCAGACAAGUGAUUUGAUUGGCUUAUGUGAGCCUCAGAUUCCCCUCUUAAAUUGGGUAUUUAAUAUUCAUCAGUGAUUAUAAACCCAUGCCUAUAAACCCGGCUACUAAGGAGGUUAAGGCAGAAGGAUGGCAAGUUUCAGUCCAGCCUGGACAACUUAGUGAGGCCCUGUCUCAAAAUAAGAAAAAGCCGGGCGUGGUGGUGCACACCUGUAAUCCCAGCAUUCAGGAGGCUGAGGCAGGAGGAUUGCCACAAGUUCAAGACCAGCUUGGGCUACAAAGUCAGUUCAUGGGAAGCCUGAACUGCUUAGUGAGACCUUGCCUCAAAAAAUAAAAAAAAUAAAAAAGAUGGGAGAUCACUCCCUAGAUUUAGUCCCUAGCACUGAAGAAAAAAAAAGAGAGUGGAAGAAAAUUUAAAAAUUGAGCUAGUGGAGUUGUUAAAAGAUUAUUUAAAAAGAAUGUACCUAAAUUCCAGUGUUUGGCAUAUGGAAAGGGUCAAUAAAUGUCUGCCCCAAAUUCGGAGGUGAGUG
rnacentral:lncRNA from 1 species